rnacentral:rRNA from 1 species
AGUAACGUCAAUGAUGCCGGGUAUUAACCGACACCCCUUCCUCCUCGCUGAAAGUGCUUUACAACCCGAAAGCCUUCUUCACACACGCGGCAUGGCUGGAUCAGGGUUGCCCCCCAUUGUCCAAUAUUCCCCA